rnacentral:rRNA from 1 species
UACGUAGGGUGCGAGCGUUAAUCGGAAUACUGGGCGUAAAGCGUGCGCAGGCGGUGAUGUAAGACAGAUGUGAAAUCCCCGGGCUCAACCUGGGACCUGCAUUUGUGACUGCAUCGCUGGAGUGCGGCAGAGGGGGAUGGAAUUCCGCGUGUAGCAGUGAAAUGCGUAGAUAUGCGGAGGAACACCGAUGGCGAAGGCAAUCCCCUGGGCCUGCACUGACGCUCAUGCACGAAAGCGUGGGGAGCGAACAGG